rnacentral:rRNA from 1 species
UACAGAGGGGGCAAGCGUUGUUCGGAAUUACUGGGCGUAAAGGGCGCGUAGGCGGCCUCUUAAGUCGAACGUGAAAUCCCCGGGCUCAACCCGGGAACUGCGUCCGAUACUGGGGGGCUUGAAUCCGGGAGAGGGAUGUGGAAUUCCAGGUGUAGCGGUGAAAUGCGUAGAUAUCUGGAGGAACACCGGUGGCGAAGGCGGCAUCCUGGACCGGUAUUGACGCUGAGGCGCGAAAGCGUGGGGAGCAAACAGG